AUACUAUAUUAUAUUAAUUACAUUUGUAUCCCAUGAGAUUUGUUCCAGCUGUAGAGGAAGUCCCGCUGAACUUGGUAGGAUUGUGAGAAGGGUGAGAGAGAGGGAUGUUGGGAAAUGCCCAGCCAGGCAGGGAGGCUGAUUCAAGUAGGGCUGUUCUUCAGUUCGAUAUGGGUGGACUUAGAAAAUCUCUUGGCCAGUUGCCUUACAACUGAGCAGUACUUGGUAUUACGUCAAGAUAAAGGUACGCCCAAAAGCCAAAGUCUGCUUUAUAGGCAAUUUGUCAUUUUUACAAGCAAGUUUUCAAUCAUGAUCCCAGAUACAGCCACAACAAAUCACCUCCUCUUAUCUACAAACUGUUUUGAGAAUUUUCUGUCUGAGAGUAAUAUACAAUUCAGCAAGUCGUUAAGUACUUCUGCCCACUAGAAAAAGAGGUGGCGAGGACAAAUAUAGAAUUCAGUUACCUUAACAGUUUGCUGAAUAAACUACAAUUGGUUGGAUCUGCACAAGAGAAUGCAUCUAAACAAAACAAAAAAACCUAUUCUAGGGCUUUGUACAAUCUAUGAGCUCCCUAAUGAACUAGCUUAGUUUUGGUAUUGCAUUGUGUUUGAAUAGAUGUGAAUUAAACAGGAACCAUAAGGGAGCCCCAAGGUGAUCAUCCCUUCUCAAAGCUGUUGUAUACCAAAUAGGGCUUUCACAGUCUGUUUUAGGAGCACAUGUUGACAUAUACUGAUCUCCAUCAUAUGUAACAGCAAAUAAAAGUUGAAAAUCAACUUUUAAAUUUUUUAAACUUUUAAUUUAGUCAUCUCUGCAAAUUCCAUCAUCUUCAUCCUCCAUUGUAGUAAUAUCAAAUAUUUCCACUUUUGAGCUAGAAUUGUCUUGUUGCAGUCAUCCAUAUAUAAAAACAAAGUUUCAUGACUUCUUUUCUAAUUGACUGUCCAUUAGUCACAAAAGAAAAGUCUGGUUUCAGAUGUUCUUUAAUUUUUAAAAUCCUCUGAAUUAAUCCAUCCAUUUGUAUUCAAAUUUGUUUAGCUUUUUUACAUGUUCACCAAACAUGGUAAAAUGUCCCUUCAUGUUCUUUGCAUUUCCAGCAAUAAUUCAAAGUAUCUUUAUAUAUUCUAUAAAGUUUCCUCUAGUGACAAACACAAACAAUACAUAAUUUUACAUGAAUUGUUUUUAAGACUAGAACAUAAAGUAACUUUCAGUCCUUUUAGCCACAUCUUUUCCCUUUGAUCCAUUUGUAUAUUAUAGCCAAAGUCUUUAGUCCAUUUUAUUAUACAUUAUUUCACUUGUUCUUCUAUCUCAUUUCAACAAAAGUUUAUACAUUUUAGCAAUAACAUGAUUAUCAUCUCUCUAU